AGUACAUUGCAUUUAAGUUGGAAUUUCCAAUUUCUCAUGUUCAUUUGGUUGUUGUUGUUAUUAUUAUUAUUUGAAAAUGAACUUGUAUUUCACCUUUUCCAUUCUUAUUCUAUUCCACAGCACCACACAAUGUUCAGUUUAUUUUAUAAUGUGUAAUAAGUUCUAUGUAUUCUCUAACAAUGCUGUCUUUGCAGAAGGAUGUGGAGAAGAUUUACAAAAAGCUAAAAACCAUUGAGCUGCAGAAUAAAGAGAGUUCUAUGUCAUGUUUUCUUUGUGGUAGAAUGUUACGUUCCUUCAAGGUGCUUAAAAAUGAAGAUGAGAGUAUUGCGCGUAAUGCCAGCAGUGAUAGGUUUCUCCCUGUAAAGAAGAACCUUAGAAUUGGCCGUCUUUGUGAUUCUUUUGAUGAUCAAAUUAAGGAGUUUGAAAGUCAUGUAUCAAAUAUUAAAUAAGAUAUUGAUCAGAGCAAGAGUAGGAAGAGGGAGAUAGAGAAAAAACUUCAAGAUUUUACAUCGAAGAUGAUAAGAAGAAAUGGCGCUUGGAUGUGGAGCGUGAUUUCAUGGUUAAGAGAAGGAAACUGGAGGAUGUGCAGAAGUCACAGUGUGUUGCCUGAGUCAACUACUAAUGAACUUCUUUAAGAAAUUUCAGAUGCUAAAAUGUUGAUGAAGAUGGAGGCAUUGCUAGAAACACUUAAAGAGAGGUCUAAUGCAGCAGAAGAAAAAGCCAGAACUCUUAAGUUAUCGUUCGAAGAUUUUGGGGAAUAGGGUCCAGUACGAAAAUGUUAUGAAAGAAAAGGUUCUUCCUCAAAUUAAGGAGGCAGAGGCAGAAUAUGUGGAACUAGAA